GGCGGAUCUGGAGGAGCAGUUGUCUGAUGAAGAGAAGGUGCGUAUAGCAGCAAAAUUCAUCAUUCAUGCCCCUCCUGGAGAAUUUAAUGAGGUUUUUAAUGAUGUUCGGUUACUGCUUAAUAAUGACAAUCUUCUCAGGGAAGGAGCAGCCCAUGCAUUUGCACAGUAUAACUUGGACCAGUUUACUCCAGUAAAAAUUGAAGGUUAUGAAGAUCAGGUAUUGAUAACAGAACAUGGCGACUUGGGAAAUGGAAAGUUUUUGGAUCCAAAGAACAGAAUCUGUUUUAAAUUUGAUCACUUAAGGAAGGAGGCAACUGAUCCAAGACCCUGUGAAGUAGAAAAUGCAGUUGAAUCAUGGAGAACUUCAGUAGAAACUGCUCUGAGAGCUUACGUAAAAGAACAUUACCCAAAUGGAGUCUGCACUGUGUAUGGCAAAAAAAUAGAUGGACAGCAAACCAUUAUUGCAUGCAUAGAAAGCCAUCAGUUCCAAGCAAAAAACUUUUGGUAAGUUAAAAUUUUGGAUAUUGGGGAGUUUUGGCAUUGUUUUAAGUCUUUGUAGUUCUUGCUUUAGUGAUUUGGGCUACACCUUGUUUGUUUAUGGUUAAGAACAAUUUAGAGAUGCUAUAAAAUUUUAGCCUUUUGAUAUAAGGAAGGUAAAUUUGCUCAACAGCCUAAUCACUAAAGGUAGUGGUAAAUCCGUUGACAUUCAGUGAAAAGAGUAUGGGACUAGCAAACAGCAUCCUGAGGGAGCAUGUGUGCUUGUGAGAACACCAGUUGGCAAUCCAUAUGCUCAUUCUGUGAAGGGGCUGUUCCUGAAUGAAACUUAUAUGGAGGAGAACAAAGAUAAUUAUAGAGCAAAAAAUGAUACUGCUUUUGUGAACUUUGUGACUCUGAAGUA
rnacentral:sRNA from 1 species